GGGAUGAGCUGUGGAUAGGGGUGAAAGGCUAAACAAACUUGGAAAUAGCUGGUUCUCUCCGAAAACUAUUUAGGUAGUGCCUCAAGUAUCACCGACGGGGGUAGAGCACUGUUAUGGCUAGGGGGUCAUCGCGACUUACCAAACCAUUGCAAACUCCGAAUACCGUUGAGUGCGAGCUUGGGAGACAGACAUCGGGUGCUAACGUCCGGUGUCGAGAGGGAAACAACCCAGACCGCCGAUUAAGGUCCCCAAGACAUAGUUAAGUGGGAAACGAGGUGGGAAGGCUCAGACAGCCAGGAGGUUGGCUUAGAAGCAGCCAUCCUUUAAAGAAAGCGUAAUAGCUCACUGGUCGAGUCGUCCUGCGCGGAAGAUGUAACGGGGCUCAAACUAUGCACCGAAAUCGCGGAUAUGUACUUGUACAUAUGGUAGGAGAGCGUUCUGUAGGCCGUUGAAGGCGUCUUGAGAAGGAUGCUGGAGGUAUCAGAAGUGCGAAUGCUGACAUGAGUAGCGAUAAAGGGAGUGAAAAGCUCCCUCGCCGAAAGCCCAAGGUUUCCUGCGCAACGUUCAUCGGCGCAGGGUGAGUCGGCCCCUAAGGCGAGGCUGAAAAGCGUAGUCGAUGGGAAACAGGUUAAUAUUCCUGUACCUCUUUGUAAUGCGAUGGGGGGACGGAGAAGGUUAGGUCAGCCGGGUGUUGGACGUCCCGGUUUAAGCGUGUAGGGAGAUCUUCUAGGCAAAUCCGGAAGGUCAAUCCUGAGGCGUGACGACGAGGACCCAUUGGGUCUGAAGUGAUUGAUACCAUGCUUCCAAGAAAAGCCUCUAAGCUUCAGUUACAGAGAGACCGUACCGCAAACCGACACAGGUGGGCAGGAUGAGAAUUCUAAGGCGCUUGAGAGAACUCAGGAGAAGGAACUCGGCAAAUUAGCACCGUAACUUCGGGAGAAGGUGCGCCCUGGUAGGUUGUAGUCCCUCGCGGACGAAGGCCGAAAGGGUUGCAGUGAAAUGGUGGCUGCGACUGUUUAAUAAAAACACAGCACUCUGCAAACACGAAAGUGGACGUAUAGGGUGUGACGCCUGCCCGGUGCUGGAAGAUUAAAUGAUGGGGUGCAAGCUCUUGAUCGAAGCCCCGGUAAACGGCGGCCGUAACUAUAACGGUCCUAAGGUAGCGAAAUUCCUUGUCGGGUAAGUUCCGACCUG
rnacentral:rRNA from 1 species